UGGUCCCUCCCCUUUCAGGCCCUGGAGAAGAUAAAAGGGGCUUGGCACAUCCCAGGCUUGAUCUGGGGCCACAGGUGGAGUCUCCGACAUGGCUUGGAUCCCUUUUUUCCUUGUGCUUCUGGCUCACUGCACAGGUUCCCUGUCUCAGCCGGUUCUGACCCAGCCACCCUCCCUCUCUGCAUCUCUGGGAACUUCUGUGAGACUUACCUGUACCCUGAGCAGUGGCUUCAGAGUUGGUGAUUUCUGGAUAAACUGGUACCAGCAGAAUCCAGGGAACCCUCCCCGGUAUCUCCUGUACUACCACUCAGACUCAGAUAAACACCAGGGCUCCGGGGUCCCCAGCCGCUUCUCUGGAUCCAGUGAUGCCUCAGCCAAUGCAGGGCUUCUGCUCAUCUCUGGGCUGCAGCCUGAGGAUGAGGCUAUUACUGUAGCACAUGGCAUGGCAACUCUAAGUCUUACACUGUGUUCCAGACUCAUGAUGCAGUGAGACAAAAACCUCACCUGCAACUUCCUGACCUGGUGCACCACCCACAGCAGGGGCUCUGA